UGUCACUUGUGUCCUGAUAGUAUCAGAAUA
rnacentral:piRNA from 1 species